UGGGGAAUCUUGCACAAUGGGCGAAAGCCUGAUGCAGCAACGCCGCGUGCGGGAAGAAGGCCCUCGGGUUGUAAACCGCUUUCAGAAGGAACGAAACUGACGGUACUUUCAGAAGAAGGUGCGGCCAACUACGUGCCAGCAGCCGCGGUGACACGUAGGCACCAAGCGUUGUCCGGAUUUAUUGGGCGUAAAGAGCUCGUAGGCGGUUCAGUAAGUCGGGUGUGAAAACUUUGGGCUUAACCCAGAACGGCCAAGUGAUACUGUCGCGCUAGAGUGCAGAAGGGGCAAUCGGAAUUCUUGGUGUAGCGGUGAAAUGCGUAGAUAUCAAGAGGAACACCUGAGGUGAAGACGGGUUGCUGGGCUGACACUGACGCUGAGGCGCGAAAGCCAGGGGAGCAAACGGGAUUAGAUACCCUUGUAGUCCCUGAGCGGGCUGGCAAGGCGCAU
rnacentral:rRNA from 1 species